UAAAACAAACCAAAUAACCAAUGCCAUAAUCACUUUGAAUCUAUAGUUAUGUUUUUCCCCCUUUUUUUACAGGGACACUAGCCUUCUGCAGAUUGGAGAAGGUGUUGACUAACAAGAGGGUUCUAAAAGAUGUGGGGAAGCUGAGCCCUCAUUACCAAACCUCGUCGUUGGAGUCUUUCCACAGCGUCAUUCUGCGUUUUGCGCCCAAAAACGUAGUCUUUCCUUUUCUUGGAAUGUUAUGCAGACUCUACCUGGCAGCCUUGCAUUUCAAUGAAAAUGCUGGGCGUCCCCAAGCAACAAGUUCAGCUGGUGAGCCACUAUUUAAAGUGAACUUCCAAAAAUAUAAGAAGGGCGAGUGCACUGCAAAGCCGGUGAAAGCAGAAACCUUCCGUGAGUGUCACAGGCUUUAUUUAAAAUUCCACAAAGUCAAACUAUGUACAAACAGUAUGUGAAACAUAAAUAACAUAUACAUUAACUGCUGUCUUUAAAUGGUCUUCAUAAUAAAUAGAAUAAUAUAAUUACAAAA